rnacentral:rRNA from 1 species
CCUACGGGGGGCAGCAGUGGGGAAUUUUGGACAAUGGGCGCAAGCCUGAUCCAGCUAUUCCGCGUGUGGGAAGACGGCCUUCGGGUUGUAAACCACUUUUGUAGAGAACGAAAAGUCUAUUGAUAAUACCGAUAGAUGAUGACGGUACUCUAAGAAUAAGCACCGGCUAACUACGUGCCAGCAGCCGCGGUAAUACGUAGGGUGCGAGCGUUAAUCGGAAUUACUGGGCGUAAGGGGUGUGCAGGCGGUGUUGCAAGAUGGAUGUGAAAGCCCCGGGCUUAACCUGGGAAAGCCAUACAUGACUGCAAGACUAGAGUGCGUGAGAGGAGGGUGGAAUUCCAAGUGUAGCAGUGAAAUGCGUAGAUAUUUGGAAGAACACCGAUGGCGAAGGCAGCCCCCUGGGACGCAACUGACGCUCAUACACGAAAGCGUGGGGAGCAAACAGGAUUAGAUACCCCUGUAGUC